AUUGAACGCUAGCGGGAUGCCUUACACAUGCAAGUCGAACGGAGUGGCGAACGGGUGAGUAAUGUAUCGGAACGUGCCCAGUAGCGGGGGAUAACUACGCGAAAGCGUAGCUAAUACCGCAUACUAUUGGAGCGGCCGAUAUCGGAUUAGCUAGUUGGUGGGGUAACGGCUCACCAAGGCGACGAUCCGUAGCUGGUUUGAGCGGACGACCAGCCACCCGGCGAGUGAGACACGGCCCAGACUCCUGAGGGAGGCAGCAGUGGGGAAUUGUGGACGAUGGGGGAAACCCGGAUCCAGCACAACCGCGUGUGCGAUGAAGGCCUUCGGGUUGUAAAGCACUUUUGGCAGGAAAGCGGUACCUGCAGAAUAAGCACCGGCUAACUACGUGCCAGCAGCCGCGGUAAUUC
rnacentral:rRNA from 1 species